rnacentral:tmRNA from 1 species
GGGGAUGUAUUGUUUCGACGAGAACUAGCACUUUAAAAACCGCAAGCCGAACAUGAUUCUAAAGUGCGUUAAACUUUGAAUCAAAAUUACGUGCAAACAAAAAUGCACGACCUGCUUACGCUUUAGCCUAAUAGCUUAAGCUAAGCUGUCCUUUUUAUCUUUUCUCGGUGGGAUCUUGAGGGCAACAACUUAGCCGGGAUAGGACUUCAGUUUUGAUCAAACUUCAGUCCGAAAAUUACAGGUCUUUGUUUGAAUUUCGCCUGCUUGUUGGCUAAAGAUUCAAACGAGAAUUAAAAAAUAAGCUAAGCUUGUAGAUGUUUUUAUCUUGUAUUCUUGGACCCGGGCUCAACACCCGGCAUCUCCACAC